rnacentral:rRNA from 1 species
CGUACACUCCUGCGGGAGGCAGCAGUGAGGAAUAUUGGACAAUGGGUGGAAGCCUGAUCCAGCCAUCCCGCGUGCAGGAAGACGGCCCUAUGGGUUGUAAACUGCUUUUAUCUGGGGAUAAACCUACUUACGUGUAAGUAGCUGAAGGUACCAGAAGAAUAAGCACCGGCUAACUCCGUGCCAGCAGCCGCGGUAAUACGGAGGGUGCAAGCGUUAUCCGGAUUUAUUGGGUUUAAAGGGUCCGUAGGCGGACUGAUAAGUCAGUGGUGAAAUCCGACAGCUUAACUGUCGAACUGCCAUUGAUACUGUUAGUCUUGAGUAAGGUUGAAGUGGCUGGAAUAAGUAGUGUAGCGGUGAAAUGCAUAGAUAUUACUUAGAACACCAAUUGCGAAGGCAGGUCACUAAGUCUUAACUGACGCUGAUGGACGAAAGCGUGGGGAGCGAACAGGAUUAGAAACCCGAGUAGUCCCA